ensembl:lncRNA
GGCAAGUGGGCAGAACCAAGAGAACAUUGUACAUGGUAACAGCAAAGAAGUUCAAAGAUCAACUGUGAAUGACUUUACUAUUAUCAAGAAUCUAAGGAUCCAGGACAAUUCUAAGGGACUUAUGAUGAAAAAGGCUGCAAUAGAAAGAACAAAAUCUGAAUGAAGAAUGAAGCAUGCCAUUCUUCACUUUAUUUCCUCCAUGAAUUUUUCUCUAGUGUGAUAUGUAUCUUCUUUCAUAAUGUGACCAAUGGAAAUAUGUAUAACAUAUGAUCAGCUUAUACCUUACUGCUUGCCAUCUUGGUUUGUAUUAGGGUUAAAAUAGAUUUGGGGUUAUUAAUUAAGAGUUGUUAACUGUGAAUAUCCUGUCAGGCUGUCAGACUGCCUGGGAUGGAACUUUGAGCUAAGGUCUUGCUUAGGAAUUCUGUGGGACCUGGAGGAGUUGGAAAUUCUGCUAAGACCAACUGUCUCUGGCUCCCUCCCUCCCUUCCUCUCUGUCUGUCUGUCUGUCUGCCUCUCUCUGUCUCUGUCUGUCUCUGUCUCUCUGUCUAUGUCUUUCUCUCUUUGUCUCUCUUUCUGUCUGUCUCUCUGUCUCUCUGUCUCUCUGUCUCUCUCUCUCUUUGUCUCUCUUCUCUCAGUCUCUCUUUCUCUUCUCUCUGUCUCUCUCUCUGCCUCUCUGUCUCUGUCUCUGUCUCUCUCUCAGUCUCUCUCUGUCUCUGUCUCUGUUUCUCUGUCUCUGUCUCUGUCUCUGUCUCUGUCUCUGUCUCUGUCUCUGUCUCUGUCUCUGCCUCUGUCUCUGUCUCUGUCUCUGUCUCUCUCUCUCUCUCUCUCUCUCUCUCUCUCUCUCUCUCUCUCUCUCUCUCUCUCUCUCUCUUUCUCUGUCUGUCUUCCCAAUGAAGGCUAUGGGCUCCUAUCUUUUGCCUUGUUUUGAAUGCCUGGUACCUAGUAGGUUCUUACUAAAAGCUUAUUGACUAAUUAAAUUUCAUUUCCAAGAAACCUGUAAAAACCAUCUAUGCCCUAUCCCUCCACCUCCUUAGAGAAACACUUUUAUCCUCAGGACCCAACUUUGGUCUCCAUUUAUUUUUAAACCAGUCAGAUAAGGGUUCUUUGUGGAACGUUCCAUUAACAUACCAAUGUAACUAACUAGAGCUUGUUCGGGGGAGAGGAGAGGACAUCCUCCCAGGUCUCCCUAGUUGUACCUAGGAUACUGUGGAUCACCACCCAAGGACCAACUCUGAAAAUUACAGUUGUUUUUUCCUCCAAUAAGAACUGAGGCAUUUGUACUGUGUUGGAAGACCCAGAGACCACAUGUAGAUUUAAGGGUACACAAAAUGACUGUGGAGCAUAGUUUUGUUUCUCCAACUGAAGCUAACUGGCCAUGUCUGGGAUUAGACUUGUAAUUUUGGCCUCAUUAGCACCAACUGAGUUAAACAGUCCACAAGCAAACUCAAUAGAGCCAUAAGCACCACCUUCAAGGUGUUAAAAGCAUCACAAAGGGAACAAAUUAAGGUUUGCUGAAUGUGAAAAGCCCCAACUGUUAGUGACAGAAUUACAUUUUUAAAUUUUCAAUGAGGGAUGCAGAAUGGGGGGGGGGAUCUAUU